CAGCUCUGGCUGCCCAAUAUUUACUUCUCAAAGGGAGACUGUGGAAACAUCAUGGGAACAACUCUAAAUGGGAAUUCUCAGGCCCUGGUGACAGGCGGCAGAGGAGUUAGGCCCACCUGAUACUCUCAAAUUGCACCCUGGGGACUAGGGACCACCCACACCAAUUCCCACCGUAAAAGGGUGGACCCUGCUCAUCCUCCCAGCUGCUUGGAAGGGAAGAUAAACACUGCAGAGUGCAGGAGCGCUCAUGCUGAGAGCAGAGAGAGAGGUUUAAUGGGCUUGUUAUCAGGCACCUGCUGAGCAGUCCUUCUCCCAAGAAGACAGGACUCAGAGAUAAAUGACCUGGCCUGAGCAGCCUCCUGGUGAGAAGAGAAAUGCCUGGAACAGGAAGUGGUGAAUCCAUAGACCAGGCAGGUCAUAGGGGCAGGCAAAGAUUUGCGGGGAGAAAAGCAGCCCUCCUUCUGUACAGUUGUCAACCAUCCAAGG
rnacentral:lncRNA from 1 species